rnacentral:tRNA from 2 species
AAGAGUAUAAUUUAAAGGUAAAAUAUUGAUCUCCAAAAUCAACAUUAAGGGUUCAAGUCCCUUUUCUCUUG